CUUUUAAUUGGAGGCUGGCAUGAAUGAGGUGACGACGCCUAAACUUUUCUUAAAAUUUAGCCUAGAAAUUGAUAUCUGCUUCAAAAAGAGCAGCUUACCGGGGGGACGACAAGACCCUAUAAAACUUUAUUUUUUAACUCUUACCUGUGCUUUUGGAGGUCAUUGGUAGCCUAAAAAUUGAGCUGGGGCGGUAUUUAACUAAAACUUUAAACAAAUAAGAACACACAUUUGUGAGUUUUUAGAUCUUUGGAAAAAUUAGAACAAGUUACUUUAGGGAUAACAGCACAAUUCUUCCGGAUAGGCCUUAUAGAGGGAAGAGACUUGUGACCUCGAUGUUGAAUUGAAGGGCCCCUUUCGCGCAAAAGCAAAAAGGGGGAGUCUGUUCGACUUUUA
rnacentral:rRNA from 1 species